GACUGAGGACAGGGGCUGCAUGCAUCCAGCUGUGGCACCAGUUAACUGUGUGUGUAGUAGUGGCUAAGAGCCAGGGAAGCAGUUAUUUGGGUACAGUCCAGUGCAAAGGCAGCUAAGCAGUGUGGGGCUGGAUGAGGGACAAGCUCAGCUUGCUAGCUGUGGCUCUCUCAAAGCUCCAGGCAGUCAGUUUUUAUUUUGGGCAGAGGACUGAAUGAAUCACUUCAAAGUCAGCCCUCAGCUGUCAGGAACAGACACUGGUUUACCUCAGUUUCCCCUGCCUCCUGUCCCCUUGCACCAGACGGCAGGAAUUAGAUAACUGUUGAGGCAUCCUCAGUGUGCAUCUGUAGCAUUUUCCUUAGGAUUAUAUUCUGCUUCGUAGCCCUGUGUGUGUUGCUGAGACUCGGUUGGCCUACUGCUUCCUUUUGAUUUUUUACUUUGGAAAAGAACGUCAUAUUUGCAAGGGACCAGACUAGUGCAUGACUUCUGGUCCUCCACUUGGUCAUAGUAUUUACCAGUUUGUCCCUCUCUUCCUUCCCUUCUCCCUCCCCCUUCCUGGUCCCUUUUAUCCUCUCCUCCUUCCCACCCCCUCCUGCCCCCAUCCCUUCUGUGUAUGUUCUAAGUGUCCUUCUGAACCGUUGGAGAGGCUGUAGCCUAAUAUCACCUUCCUCCUUAAAUAUCCACAUUUCCAGUAUCUGCAGCGUGGGUCCUCUGUAUAUCACCUGUCUGGCAGGGCAAAGAAGGCAGCUCCUCCUGCUAUUUAAUCCUUCCAGGUCCACAUUCUUACCUGUCUCCAGAUCCUUCCCAGGUGUGGUCUAACUCGGGAUCUUCCUCACUUUUCCAUGUUCCUAUCCAUCUUGACCUCUGCAGACUCUGCCUUGGACCCCCAUACUCUGGUCAUGAGUAGUCCUGCUGCCCAACUGCAUUCUGGGCUGGGGGAGGGUGCAGAGGCCAGAAGCCUAAUCUUUGGGUAGGGAUGUGGCACACUACAGGCAGUGGAGCCUCUCCUGGGCUGAAAUUCAGGCUUCCUCUCUGCUCCAGGAAGGAGGGGCUCCAACAGGUAUCUAUCAUCCAGGGUUCUAGUCAGGUGCUGUCCAGACUGGAUGUGGUGAACCUGGCCAGUAUGUCUUCUGACCAGGGUUCCCCUUCUUUUGCAAUAACUUUUAUGCUUUUUGUUUUCCUUGGAAAAAAAACUUUUCUAAAAGUUGAAGUCUCAAGCCAGUUAGUGGUGGUGCACGCCUUUAAUCCCAGCACUCAGGAGGCAGAGGCAGGUGGAUGUCUGUAAAUUACAAGCCAGCCUGGUUUACAAAGUGAGUUCCAGGCCGGCCAAGGCUACACAGAGAAACCCUGUAUGGGAAAACCAAACCAAGCCAAAACAAAACAGCAACAACAACUGAAAGAGCUGAGGUCUCAUAAUGUUUUCUAAAAGUAAGGAAAUUUCGAAGUGGGACUUGCCAUGCAAGUCUGCUGAACUGAGCCUGGUCCCCAGAAUCCACACAUGGUGGUGGGGGGGCGGGGGCAAGCCAGAGGAGUUGACCCCUGGCUUCCACAUGUGCAUCACAUACAGCGAUAAUCUAUUUUUUUUAUUUUAAAAGUAAGCAAUCACAAAAUGACUCCCAUAGAUCCAUCUCCUGCUCAACAAACGCCCCGUCUGUCUCUUGCCUGAAUUUAAACAUUUUCACUCUUGAGUUAAUUUCGGACUUAGAGGAAAGUCACAACACCACUCUGUUACACCCUUUUCCAGAGCCCCUUUAUGGCACAGGUGCUCUGCUUCAUUUGGCUUGUGUUUUGUAAAAAUUUGGUUUAGCUAUUUUGUUGUGACAAAAUACACACAGCUGAAAAAUGUAUGAUUAUGACUAUUUUAACUGGCCAGCUGAGAUAGUGGUUCUCAACAUGUGGGUCACGACCUCUUUGGGGUGAAGUAACCCUCUCACAGGGGUUUCCUAAGACCAUCGGAAAACAAGAUAUUUACAUUAUGAUUCAUAAGAGUAGCAAAAUUACAGUUAUGAAAUAGCAACAAAAAAUUUAUGGUUGGGGGUCACCACAGCACGAGGAACUGCAUUAAAGGGUGGAGGUGUUGGUGAGGUUGCUAACCAAUGAAAGUUUUGAGGACAUUCACACAUUUUGCAAAUACCCUGAGUUUCAGCCUUUUUUCUUCUUCUUAACUUCACAGGGAAACUCUAUACCUGCUUGCUUAUGUGUUUUAAUUUAUGCUGUUAAAUACUGAAUGGUGCUUUUAGAAAUGCCAGCUCUAUUCACACACGCAUUUCAUGUGUGUACGUGUGUGCACACACAUGCGUGCUUGAGACAAAACCUUGCUGUUUAGUCCAGGCUGACCAUAAAAUUACAGUUCUGCUACCUCAGUCUCCCAAGUGCUGAAAUCACAGUCAGGUUUAUUUUGUGUUUGUUUGUUUAAUCGUUGAGACAAAUAUUGCUAUGUAGCCCUGGCUAGCCUAAAACUUUCUAUGGAGACCAGGCUGGCCUCAAACUUGCAGCAAUCCCCUGGCCUCUGCCUCCUGAGUGCUGAGAUUCAAGUGUGUGCCACAGUGCUGGCUAAUUUCUGGUGAAUUCUUUCACAGCAGAUUGCAACUCUAUUUCUCGGACAUCAGCAUAUAGGGACACCCUCUUCUGUGCACCGAGUUCCCCCUCUUACGACCACAGCAUGAGCGUCACCUCCAGGAAAUUCAUUUGUGUUAGGUGUUGGGGCAUUGAGCCCAGUUUUUGCAGAGUGGGCAGAAACUUCACUGUGGCCAGCCUAGGAAAGUUUUGUUUUGUUUUUAGUGGGGAUUGUUUUGUCUGUUCAUUUGAGACAGGUCUUCACUCUAUAACCCAGGCUGGCCUGGAACUCACUAUGUAGUCCAGGCUAGCCUUGAACUUGCAGCAGCUUCCCUGCCUCAGCCUCUUGAGUGCUAGAAUUACAAGUGUGAGCCACCACCCCCACAUGUAGUCCCUCCCUCUCUCUCUCUCUCUCUCUCUCUCUCUCUCUCUCUCUCUCUCUCUCUCUCUCUCUCUCAUUUUUUUGAGACAGGAUUUCUCUGUGUAGCCCUAGCUGUCUUGGAACUCACUCUGUAGACCAGACUGGUCUUGAACUCAGAGAUCCAGCUGCCUAACAUAGUUUUUUUUUUUUAUAGCUUCUAUUUUUUUAAACUUUAUAUGUGUGGAUUUUGCCUAUAUGCAAGUCUGUACUCCAAGUGUGUGCCUGGUGCCUACAGAGGUCAGAGGGCAUCAGAUUCUCUGAAACUGGAUUUACAGAUGGUUGUGAACCCCUAUAGGAAUGCUGGGAAUGAAUCCAUGUCCUCUGGAAGAGUAGCCUGUGCUCUUAACCCCUGAACCAUCUCUCUAACCCCAACUGUCCAAGUAUUUAAACAAUUUUUGUGAUGUUUAUUGUAUGUGUAUGAGUGUUCUGUCUGCAUGUAUGUCUGUGCAUUGUGUGCCCACAGAGGCUAGAAGAAGGGUGUAGGAUCUGCUGGAACUGGAGUUAUAGAUGGUUGUGAGCUCCCAUGUGGGUGCUGAGAAUCAAACCCAGGUUCUGAGCCAUCUUUCCAGCUCUGUUGUCCAAGUUUUUACGAAAAUGAUUGUGGGGUCUGUUUGUUGGUUGGUUGGUUGGUU